rnacentral:rRNA from 1 species
UACGUAGGUGACCAGCGUUGUCCGGAUUUACUGGGCGUAAAGAGCGCGCAGGCGGUCGUUCAAGUCGAGUGUGAAAGCCCCCGGCUCAACUGGGGAGGGUCACUCGAUACUGAUCGACUUGAAGGCAGGAGAGGGAAGCGGAAUUCCCGGUGUAGUGGUGAAAUGCGUAGAUAUCGGGAGGAACACCAGUGGCGAAGGCGGCUCACUGGCCCGGUACUGACGCUGAGGUGCGAAAGCCGUGGGGGAGCAAACAGG